rnacentral:misc_RNA from 1 species
AAAGUCGUAACAAGGUUUCCGUAGGUGAACCUGCGGAAGGAUCAUUAACACGUAUCCAACGUUAAACCCCCUGUGAACAUUGAGCUUGCUCUCGAAGCUUGUUUAGAAUUGCAAUCCCUGGUAAAUCAUUGUUGAGCAGAUUUUGAUUCAGGGACCUCAGUUCUGGUGAGUUAGAUUGAGCGAUUGAUCAAGUGGCCUGGUUUCCCCAAGCAGUCAGUGUCUGAAAGUGUCAUUGAUUGUGCAAGGAUAACGCUUUACGAUCACUAGAGGCCGACACCGGCCGGUGAACAGGCUGCCGUGGCUUAGGCCCCCUAUAUUCACCCCACUACCAUGUAAUCGCCUCGUAGGAAACUGCUGGGCAUCAAACGAACAACUGUUAACAAUGGAUAUCUUGGUUCUC